rfam:Emiliania huxleyi CCMP1516 EMIHTscaffold_485_Cont7973, whole genome shotgun sequence.
AAGAUCAUACUUGAUCAGGAUCAUUUCUGUAGUAUGUUCUUCCACUCAGCGACUGUAGCUGAGCUGUUUCUCACAAUCGAGAGGACGACCUAUACCAUCCGGAGGGUUAGGGACACUGGGCGGGAGCCGCUUGCGGCGCCCGCCCUGGAAGAACCUGCGGUUCUUUUCUUGAGGCGCCCCGCCGGAUUCGAGUCGGAUCGAU